UAGUCCUUUAAAAUUAGUCCCGUGAGGCUAAGAAGGCAGUGUCUUUUAGAACUCGGAUAUUAGACUGUAAUCUGCCGCUUAGUCGUUUGACUAGGCGGUUUUUUAUU
rfam:Lactobacillus oeni DSM 19972 NODE_96, whole genome shotgun sequence.